rnacentral:sRNA from 1 species
AUUCUGCCCAUGCGGGGAAGGAUGAGAAGCCUCGACCAAGGUUCGACUCGAGCGCCAGCGAGAGAGCGUUGCCGCAGGCAACGACCCGAAGCGCGCAGCGUUGAGUAAUCCUUCCCCCACCACCA